rnacentral:rRNA from 1 species
CACGCCGUAAACGAUGAGUACUAGGUGUAGGGGGUAUCGACCCCCCCUGUGCCGCAGUAAACACAAUAAGUACUCCGCCUGGGAAGUACGAUCGCAAGAUUAAAACUCAAAGGAAUUGACGGGGGCCCGCACAAGCAGUGGAUUAUGUGGUUUAAUUCGAAGCAACGCGAAGAACCUUACCAGGGUUUGACAUCCAACUAACGAAGCAGAGAUGCAUUAGGUGCCCUUCGGGGAAAGUUGAGACAGGUGG